rnacentral:lncRNA from 1 species
UCGCGUACGGACGACCCAGACUGGAUCGCGAUGAACGGCCUAGAUUCAUUUCCUAUUUAAUUGCAAUCGGAUGGUCCAGAUCAAAAGCGGAUGGGUAUAAAUAACCCUAUCCACACCCAAACCCUAACCUUAGUCGCUAAAAUCCAUCACCAUAGAAGACAACCCAGCCGCCGGGGAGCCGACCACCGCCACCCGCCACCGCACUGGAACCCUUUCUGACUGCU